CAGCCUGAACAAAAACCAACAGAUGAACAGAUGUCAAACAGUGUUUGUGACAGGAAGAGAGCAGUAAACCACAGCCCAGGUUCACAUAUUUCACCUCCAUCUCAGACACCUUUUCUGGACUUCCAGGUUCAUAUGGAACUUAUGAAUAAACACUCUGUGCAACAAAUUUUGUCUCUGCAUUCAACAUUUAACUGUGACUUUAUCAAGAAAGUAGCCUGAGAGAGAACUAUGCAGACUGGACUCCCUGAGAUCCACAGACCUAACCAGGUUCUGUCUCCUCCAUUGUUUAUCUUUCUCUGCACCAGAGAUCUGCUCGUAAAUUACCUCACAUUCCAGGAUACAAUCCUCUAAUGUUUGAAACUGUAUGAAAUAACUGUCUGACCAUUUUGUAAAGAACGCCAUUUUAUUGAUCAAGUGCUUAUAAGUAAUUCUGUGAAAAUCAGAAUUUUCUACCAUGUUGCUAAGUUAAGUUAAUAAAGUGAGGAAUUAAUUCAAACAUCUGCCAUGGAACCAUAUUACCAUCCACUGACCAUGUCUAAGCUUAACUAAAGAAGAUAGACACAAUGUUUUUUCAGGUAUUGGAAUCAAAUGAUUAUUCCUCAUGUCUUGUAAUGACACUUAUUUAUUACUAAUGAUGAACACAAUUUAUUCUUUUGCAGCUUCAUCAGUUAAUCAGCUUAACUGUGUUAAGAUUUAAGAGAAAUGUGUUUUAAUUCGUGUUUGUAUUAAUGCAUUGUCUUUCUUUAGGUAUCAGCGCCACAAGUUAUAUCUCAUCUUAUACAGUCUCCUAAUUGAUCAUGGUGGAAGACAAAUAUGUGAUAUGCACAAGUAUUCCAGAUGAAUAAUUUAGAGUUUAUUAAGGGAUCAUAUUUUGCUCUAACUGAGACAAAGUGAGGACAACGAACCAUGAUUGGCUGAGACCACCUCACUCUGCCUGUAAACCUGAUACUAUCCUCAAGAGAAUAAAGACUCUGGUGCACAAAGAUAAAUGCCUUUGGUUGAAAUCAGCUCCAAGCUACAGCCACUCGCUGUGCACUUUAAUUUUCUCUGUUCCUUUGUUCUCUUUUCACCACGUACUCCGCAAGUAACUUCUUCUUUUAUCUGUACGCACAAGUGACUUUCAAUAUUCCUCAAGUCAAGCAAACGUCAAGUUAUGCCAAAGGAACAAAAAUAUCUGAAUACUUAGAACAAAUUUUUGAUAAUCCUGCGUUUUUAUUCUGAAGAUUUUUGACACUUUUAGAGUCAUCUGGCCGACACCAGCGUCCUCUAAAGUAAUCCAGAAAACAUUAAGUAGGCUACAUGAGAGAUUAUUUUUCCUCAACCCCAUAAGAGAGGCCUGUAGAUUACACGACCACCUGCAGAGAAACCUGCAAGAAACUAAGUUUGCUGAGAGUGAACUCAACUAAAGCUGAACCGCUGAGACACCGGCAGAAUCCGUCACCGUGUUAACCAGAGACACAGCCUCCAGGAGAAUCCACCUGGAUCCUGCGUUUCCAAGGUUACCACCACAACCUCAGCCACCUGGAUUCCAGCCAAGUCUGCAGCUGCUGCAACUCACAGUAGGCUGGUCUUAACAUUCUGCUUGUGAGAAGGGUUGAUGAUAAAAUAAGUAACUUUAAUUUCACCAUCGAUAGAAUCUCCAAAACAGAUUAUAGUUACAGACUAAAACGAUUUGCUUCCACCAGAUCACUGCUCAUUUUACCUGCUGUUAGUUCACCAUGAUAGUUGAUCAUCCUUACACUUCUGUUUUAUAUUUAUUUCACAUGUUUUCACUCUAUAUAUCUUCACCUUAGUAAUCAAUAAAUUGUAAAUACACUUGUA